rnacentral:rRNA from 1 species
CCUACGGGGGGCAGCAGUGGGGAAUAUUGGACAAUGGGGGCAACCCUGAUCCAGCCAUGCCGCGUGUGUGAAGAAGGCCCUCGGGUUGUAAAGCACUUUCAGUGAGGAAGAACGCCUGGUGGUUAAUACCCAUCAGGAAAGACAUCACUCACAGAAGAAGCACCGGCUAACUCCGUGCCAGCAGCCGCGGUAAUACGGAGGGUGCGAGCGUUAAUCGGAAUUACUGGGCGUAAAGCGCGCGUAGGUGGCUUGAUAAGCCGGUUGUGAAAGCCCCGGGCUCAACCUGGGAACGGCAUCCGGAACUGGCAAGCUAGAGUGCAGGAGAGGAAGGUAGAAUUCCCGGUGUAGCGGUGAAAUGCGUAGAGAUCGGGAGGAAUACCAGUGGCGAAGGCGGCCUUCUGGACUGACACUGACACUGAGGUGCGAAAGCGUGGGUAGCAAACAGGAUUAGAUACCCUGGUAGUC